rnacentral:rRNA from 1 species
UAGGGAAUAUUAGUAAUGGGCGAAAGCCUGAACUAGCAACGCCGCGUGUGCGAAGAAGGCCUUCGGGUUGUAAAGCACUUUUUGAGAGGAUGAGGAAGGACGGUACUCUCAGAAUAAGUCUCGGCUAACUACGUGCCAGCAGCCGCGGUAACACGUAGGAGGCGAACGUUAUCCGGAUUUACUGGGCGUAAAGCGCGUGUAGGUGGUUUGGUAAGUAGGGCGUGAAAGCUCCUGGCUCAACUGGGAGAGGCCGUUCUAAACUGCCGAACUAGAGGAUGGUAGAGGGAGGUGAAAUUCCGGGUGUAGCGGUGGAAUGCGCAGAUAUCCGGAGGAACACCAGUGACGAAAGCGGCCUACUGGACCAUUCCUGACACUCAGACGCGAAAGCUAGGGUAGCAAACGG